UGACUAAGAAUAAAGAAUAAAGAAUGGCUAAUGUUAAAGAAUAGCAAAUGUUAAAGAAUAGCUAAUAAGUAAAGAAUGAUUAUCAAUAAAGAAUGGCUAAGAGUAAAGAAUGGCUAAGAAUAAAAAGUUGAAUUAAUUAAUCUACUUGUAUGAGUUGCAUGAUUUGCAUAUUGUAUUUGUGAGGCAUGAACAUGUAUUAUAUGAUGUUAUAUGUAUAUAUUUGUUAGACUAACAUGUUUGCAGUGCCUCCUUUGGACCUGGUGGGUCGAGCUUUUCUCUUCGGUGGCCGUACCCAUUGGGAACUAUGGACAAUAGUUAUCACUCCCGUGUUGUUUUUAGGGAUACAGGUUCACACGCGAGUGGCGCGGCAGCGCGAGGAAAGGGCGUAGCUCCGUAGUUAGCGCCCUACCAAGAAAUGAAAAGAACCAAGUUGUAAUAAUCUUGUUAAAAACUAGAUUGUAUUUGAAAGGUAAAAAGCGAAUGAAAAGUGUAAUAUAUGAUGUAAAAUGAAAUAUAUGAGUUGAAUGCUUGUAAUAGCAUAGUAUUAUGUUUUCAAUACCUUCUUUAUGCAAUCUAUGUUUGUAUGCUGUUCCUGGUUGGAACCUCGCACAUUGUAUGGAUUGUAACGCCUCCAACAUACAGGGGAGACUUUGUCCACGGUACAGAGGAAACCCUGUUCGUUCGGCGGUCUAUUGGCGUGCCCGAAUCUGACCAAAUAGGCGAGCUCGGGGCGUGACAACAUGACUCACAAACCCCACACAAAUCCCCAAAAUCGAUUUCCCAAUACCGAUUAUCGUAACUCGCCGGAAGUCCCGAAAAUCACACCGGAAUGCCGUCGGACCCACUAAGUGUCCCGAAACUCACCGACUCAUGCCAAGAGUCACCUGCUGCCACAAAACACAUCGAUUUGGACAUCUUGGCAGCAAACACAAGAUUAGACAACUAAACAAUUAUCGCUGGAUAAUUGUUUGGAUUCAGAUUCCCGGAAGUGUCCAUUUCGACACCGGAACCCACCGUCGCUCACCCGUCAUCUCCGAACUCACGAUAUGACGAUGGUGACCAGCCGACAAGGCUCAGCGACAACUCUUAGGGCAAACAAACACCGUCGGAUGAAAUCUGAACCGAAAUCGCGUUCCGCCGGCGAAUUUCGCCAAAAAACGCACCAAAAUCGACCUCCGAUUUUCGCAAAGGCGAACGGGACUUGGACGAUCAGUCCAGAGGUCAACUACCACACGAACAUACAACCUACAGUAGCCACAUGAUGCAAAAUUACAUAAAAGUCCCUCUAUUUACAUAAAAUCCUAUUAUUUUAUGCAAAUAAAAUGUCGAGCUUUUCUCAAAAUUACCAUUUUGCCAUUAAUGACCCCUCCUCGAUCAAUGUGCUAUAUCAGAAGAUCCGUUCGUCAGAUUUACGUACGGACCGUAACAGUGCGAUCAGCACGACAGAGACAACAAACCCACGACUUUGUUUUACCUCGAUUGGUCACGGAUUCGCGAUGAAACCAGUUCUGUAACACAUUGGACCUUUGCAAAUUGCGAGGUUCAAGUGUUUGAUCAGUGUUCCGAGUUUUUUCAGAUAUUCUGGAGGGUCGUUGACAGUGUUCCGACCUAUGGCUCGUAUUCCGAGAAUUGUAGUAUUUAAAGUAGCGCUAAGGUCACCAAAGUGAUGGACUUAGGCUGCUCUCAGAUUACAUUUUGCUGGGCUGUGUACCGGUACACCUUGAUGGUUGUACCGGUAUAGAAUGUGUACCGGUGACAACUCGAUAGUUGUACCGGUACAAAUGCAAUCUCUUAGCCAACCCGAGUCUCGGAUUUGCGCGUACAGGAUUUUGUACCAGUACACUUUCCCAUGUACCGGUACACUUUGCCAGAUUUCGAAAUGGCAGUUUUUGAAGGGUGUUUUUGGAAUUGUAGCCUUAUUACAAAUAUCCCCCACGCCCCUUGGAGUUCUCUUGAGCUAAGACCAGUGGAGGAGAAGGUAGCGAAGCCCUCCUCUUCCUCUCUUUGAUUCUCCUUCAUUUAGUUGAGAUUUUUGAAGCUUAAUCACCUCUUUUUGCUCCUUUAUGCUUCCUGGUGCCACUUCCACCAUGGGAGAAGCUUGGAAGCUCGGGUAGGAGCUUCUUGGAGGGAUGAUUCUCAGCCCUAGAGCAUUUUGAGCCUUGAUUGGAGCUUUUAAAGAGGUUGGUAACAUGUAUUCCUCAUUUAAUACAUGUUUUGUUGGAUUUUCUUGUUGGAACCCUAGAAAUGGAAGAACUAGGGUUUUAAAAUGGGGGUUUUUGGUUAGAGGCUUUUGGAGCCUAAUUGGUUUAAUUAGAACCUUUGUUUAGAUUGAAUUUGGAGGGAUCUUGCUCUCAUUUGGAGUUUGAGAGAGAUUUUCACCAUAUAAGGUGAGAUUUUGGCCUUUUUUGAGUUGGUUAAUGUUUAACCUAUUCGUUAUUCGUAACGUUCGUGUAACACUCCUAGUUUAACCUUCAGGGAGCUAGGAAGCUUAUGGACACUUUCAUCGGCGCAAACGAAGGGUUGCGAGGAGACUUGGUGGGUUUGGCCUCACCAAAACGGGAUAAAUCAUCCCUAUGAUGGUUUUUACUUAACGUAAAAUGAAAAUACAUGCAUAUUCAUGCUAGAUAGAAUAUUUGAGAAUUUUGGAAUACUUAAAAUUCACAUAUUAUGUAUAAUGCAUUUUUGGACCUCUAUAUAGUAGAGAGUUUCCAUGUUGGGUUUGGGCCUAUGGAUAGCACUCCUAUGUGUGGAUUUAGAUCAUGUUUCAUAGUAAAAAUGACAAGUGCAAUACAUUCUUGGACUUAGACUCAUCAUUGGUAUAGUAAGCUAAUGUCAUAAAGAAACAUUGGGCUCGGAAUUGGUAUAAUAAGCUAAUGUCAUAAAGAGACAUUGGGCUCGAAAUUGGUAUAGUAAGCUAAUGUCAUAAAGAGACAUUGGACUCGAAAUUGAUAUAGUAAGCUAAUGUCAUAAAGAGACAUUGGACUUGGAAUUAGUAUAGUAAUCUAAAGUCAACAAAACAUGCUCGAUCCCUCGCCGCCGCCCGGAGGCGCCUCGGCCGCCGCCGAGGCCGGUGUGGCACCCCGAGCCCGAGCUCGGCUUGUGUGGGAUCAGCUUGCUCCACGGUCGCCGCCGCCGCCUCCCGCCGCUGGCCAGCGCGAGCCCCUACCUCCCUUCGUCAACCGUACCCGUCGGCCGCCGUCGCGCCCGCCCCCGAGCCGCCGCCGGCCGUGCCCUAGCUCCCCCCUAUCGAUAAAGGUAUUUGGCAUUGUUUCUGGUUGUUGUUUUGGGUUGCACAGGCUUUUUCGGCAAUCCGAGGCUGUUCUUGUAAGAUAUUGAAUCCUCGUUGUAAUAAACCACUUUUGGUCAAAGUAACCAAAGCGUUGCGAGUUGGAUGCUUGGACAUGAUCUAUUUGACAUUCCAAGGAUGUUGGAAGGGUCAAAGUUGAGUUCUAAAAGAGGUUGACGAGUUUUAGCAUUGCUCGACGCGAAAUAAAAGUCGAUCAAGUGCUAAACUGCAGUCUGGGCAUUUCGUAUCGGUACGGCAUCAAGGUGGUACCGGUACCCCGUAGCAGACUGAGAGUAGUAGCUCUCGGGUUUGAGAAGUUUUGGCUUUUAAACCGGUGACACCCCUGGUGCGUACCGGUACCAGAGCAGCUACCCGAGAAGGCAGCUCUCGGGUUUGGCCUCUACGCAGCUGUUAAACCGGUGACAGAUUGCCGCGUACCAAUACCAACUGCAGAAAACUGCAGUUUUGGUCUGUUGCAAUUGGGGAAUUUCCUCACCGUUGGAGCAAGCUUUUCAGGUAAGCUCUAUGGAGCUUUAAUAGUGGAUUUCUAUGGUUAAGUUUUUAUACCUUAGAAUUGGUUUUGGGUGAACCCUAGGAUAUUAGAUAGAUGAUUAUUGCUUGAAUAGCGAAGCUAUACAUCGGAUUCUUGCAAUAAUUAUGCGUUAGGGUUCUAAAGAGGGUUUUGUAAAGAUGAGAUCUAAAGUUGGGAUUGAUCUCUUUUAUACAUAUCUGCUAGGUGUUCUAGCGCGUUGGUGAACUCGGUUUGGCGAUCCGACGAGUCGGCGCGAAGAUAUUGAAGAAAAGCCUAUUUUUGGCUUCGUUUGCCGCAGUGGGAAAAAAUAGGCGGCGGAAAGUUGCGAAACUUGGAAUCUAGGAUCGCGGCAUCACCAAGAGGUGGGUGGUGUCAUCCCGAAGCAGAUGGACUUCCUUCUAUGUCCGAGUUAGAUUGUCGAUCACAUUUCACAUAUUGCUCUUAUGCAUUAUAGGAUGUAAGGUUUAGUUGCAUUUCUACUUCCUUGCAUGCAUUUUUAGUAGUGUAGCACUAUGGGCUUGACACCUAAACCUAGGGAGCAUGAGGAUUGGGUCAUGUGACAUGAAAUCCUCUAGUGAUAAGAAAAAGGGUAAACUUGAACUUGAUGAUAAAGACGAGUGGCAUGUAAAUAAUGUCGAUGACAUGACGAGUGGCAUGAAAUUUAGUGUAGAUGAAACACUAGACAUGGACUAUGAUAUAUGGUAUAGAACAUAGUGUAGUUGAGACACUUGACAUGGACAUUGGGAUAGUUGAGUUUCCGAGUUUCUGUUAGCCCUAGUUGACAGGGCAUCCUCAGUUGGCGAGGAUGGAAUCAUACUCACAUGGUCUGUUUUUACGCUUGGAGUGGUCGCUCCACCCAAGCAGUGCACUCCGGAGUUCGUCACCCGAGGGACAGAUGUAGUUGUUCGGCAGACGGUCCUGGGUGAGGUAAAUGCUAGGUAGCUUCUCAUCUAAGGGAUUCGAAAUGUGAGUCGGGGCGUAACCUUCGGGUUAGCCAACUGGAUUGGGUAAUGAUCUUAUGAGAGAUAUGCAUCUUGAGCAUAGUAGAUGUUGCAUUCAUACUUGAUGUAGUGACAUAGUAGCAUGUUUGUAACGUAUGGAAACUUGGAGUUGCGAUGUCAACUUUGACCUAGAGGGUCAAAGUGAGGAUUGAGCUAGUUGGACAUCAUCCCCGAGUGAUUUGUGAUGCGUGUGAAUGAAUUCUGGAGAUAAAUAAGUGUUUCGGCGCAAGUUGGGCGUGAAACGAAAUAUAAAGAGAAUUUCGGAUUUCCGACNAAGGUAUUUGAGAUUUUGUAAAUGUAAAAUCUGUGAGAUGAAUGCUUGUAAUAGCAUUGUUAGCCUUUUAUGUUUUUUUGAUACUUAUACAAUCUAUGUGUGAAUGCUGUUCCUGGUUGGGACCUCUUCUGUUGCAUUAUAUGGAUUGUGACGCCUAGGACGUACAGGGAAAGCUCUGUCCGUUCGGCGGUCUGUCGGCGUGCCCGAAUCUGACCAAAUUGGCGGAGCUCGGGGCGUGACAAUGU
rnacentral:lncRNA from 1 species